UCCUACGGGGGGCAGCAGUGAGGAAUAUUGGUCAAUGGACGAGAGUCUGAACCAGCCAAGUAGCGUGAAGGAUGACUGCCCUAUGGGUUGUAAACUUCUUUUAUAUGGGAAUAAAAUGUUCCACGUGUGGGAUUUUGUAUGUACCAUAUGAAUAAGGAUCGGCUAACUCCGUGCCAGCAGCCGCGGUAAUACGGAGGAUGCGAGCGUUAUCCGGAUUUAUUGGGUUUAAAGGGUGCGUAGGCGGUCCGGAAAGUCAGCGGUAAAAGCCCGGGGCUCAACCCCGGCGAGCCGUUGAAACUGUCGGA
rnacentral:rRNA from 1 species